rnacentral:tRNA from 1 species
GGGAAGUUAGCUCAGUGGUAGAGUGCUUGCUUUGCAUGUAUGAGGCCCUGGAUUUGAUUCCUCAGUACCCA